AUGUUGUCACAAAUAGCGUUAUGAAGAUAACUAUUUCGUUUGUUCUAUUGGAUUCUCUCCAUCUUUACUCGUGCGAUACUUCAAGGAACUCUUAUACGCAAUCAAUGUUCAUUGAAAUUAACCUGGUCACAAGCAUGUUUGCUUGGUAAACAACGCCCGACGUUCGAUGCAAUGAUUCCGCUCUAAUUAGUGCAGAAAUUAAGGUUCCAACUGCCAUAUUAGAAGGCAAGCUUGACCAGUUACACUCACAAGAAGAAGUCAAACAUGGAACCUUAAUUAGAAAAUCAAGAAAUUGAGAGCUUUGUGAAGAUAUUCAAAGGUGUUGGUCAUGGAUGGGCUUCAAGAUAUAGCGAGGAUAAUGAAUCUGUUGAGAGGAGUGCUGAGGUGGCCAAGCAUGUGAUUUUUUAAGCGGGUCGAGUGGUUAUUUUUCUUAUCUCACUUAUGAAGGUGUAACAUUAUAUACUUGAAGCCAAGAACCUUACACUCUCAUUCAUCAUUGUAAAGCAUUGUGCUUUGGAGUAGAAUGACGAGUUAGCUUCUGAAGUUGGAGACUUUACUUGAUGAUAGCAUGGGGCAAAAUGUCGAGUUGGAAUUUGAAAGGAGUGGCACGUCUUUGACCGUUCAGUUGGUGGCUGAAGACUUACACUCAAUAACUCUUUCGGAGUUAGGAGUGGCACGUCUUUGUGAUGUACAUUUUAGAUCAAACUUGAUCAGAUAUUAAUGGUACGUUGUCAAUUCAUAGGCAAGUGCUAAGUGAUAUGCGGAGCCGCCAAUGAAGGCGGAUGACCAUACAUGACAGAACUAUAUCAGCCUUAGAAGGACAUGCUAAAGAAUGCAAAUAAUCAAGGAACAACCAUCCUCUAUAAUCUGAAGGUAGAUUAUACUUUGGGAGAUUUUGAGGUAAUUUUAUGGAGCUACACAUAUUGGUGGUUGUUUAGGGGAGUUAACGGGCUCUCAUAUUCAUCGCUUUUCAUGGAGAAGGUAUAUAUCCGGCAACCCUUAGAUGUGAAGCCCAACUUUGGAAAGGUCUAGAACAAAAAUGAUGAUUUACAUGGGCUUCAAUGCCGGUUAUUGGACUUGGGUUUGACUUGAAUGAUGGCUAGAAGCUUGAAGUUUGUUGCUGAUGCGUAUGAAAGUCGAUAGAGUUUUGAAGAUUGAUGUUUUUUGUUUGAACUGUAUUUAGUCUUGAUUUUGGUUGUUUUCGUUUAUUUUUUGUUUGGAUUUUGAAUAGGUUUUAUGUUUGUAAUACUUGGGUUGUGUGUGGUCGCGAGUAGAGUUAGAAGUAGUAAUUGUUAUUUGUUAGAGUGGUUGGGGUAGGGGUUUGUUAAA
rnacentral:lncRNA from 1 species